GACGAACGCUGGCGGCGUGCUUAACACAUGCAAGUCGAACGAGAGCGUAGAGAAAGCUUGCUUUUUCUACAAUCUAGUGGCAAACGGGUGAGUAACGCGUAAACAACCUGCCCUACGGAUGGGGACAACAGCUGGAAACGGCUGCUAAUACCGAAUACGUUCCGAAAGUCGCAUGACUAUCGGAAGAAAGGAUGGCCUCUAUUUAUAAGCUAUCGCCGGAGGAGGGGUUUGCGUCUGAUUAGCUAGUUGGAGGGGUAACGGCCCACCAAGGCGAAGAUCAGGUGCCGGGCUGAGGAGGUGAACGGCCACAUUGGAACUUGGGCACGGGCCAGGCUCCUACGGGAGGCAGCAGGGGGGGAUCUUCCGCAAUGGGCGAAAGCCUGACGGAGCAACGCCGCGUGAGUGAAGACGGCCUUCGGGUUGUAAAGCUCUGUUAUACGGGACGGAUAAUCUGGUGGUUAAUACCCAUGAGAAGUGACGGUACCGAAAGAGAAAGCCACGGCUAACUACGUG
rnacentral:rRNA from 1 species